GCAAGCUUGCCCUGCAUCGGCGCCUGCGAGUGCCGUGCUGAUGUGCACUUCUGGGGGCCUGGGCUGGUUUAGUCUGGAGAAGAGGAAACGGAGUGGGGGUUAAUAACAAUUUUCAGCAACCUGAAGGAGGCUCCGAAGAGGAGGCAGCUGCACCCUUCGCAGUGGUGGCAGAUGACAGAGCAAGGAGCAAUGGCCUCAAGUUCCAGCAAGGGAAGUUUAGGGUAGAUAUUGGGGAAAAGUUUCUCAGUUGGAGGGUGGCAAAGCACUGAAACAGGUUACCCAGACAGGUAGUGGACUCUCCAUCCUUGGAGGAUUUUAAGACAGAGCCUUGGCUGAGAUGAUGUAGUUGGGGCUGGUCCUGCUCUGAGCAGGGGGUUGGACUAGGGACCUCCUGAGGUUCCUAUCCACCAUCACUUUCUAUGAUUCUAUGACUUGUACAAUUUGCAGAGAGCAUAUACCUGAGCAUUUUUGCAGGCCCUAGAAAACCAAAAGUUCUUCCCUCUGUAUUUCUGUGUACCCUACAGCAGUGGUUCUUGACCUUCUUUGUACCAGGACCCAUUGGUAAACAUUGAUGGCCAGUCUUGACCCAGUGCCCCUCACUCCAAACCUGCUGCCCCAGGUCCCAGCCCCCAGUGGAGGGGAUACAGGGGACCCCAAGCAGCCCCUCACAGGCUGGGACUCUGCCAGCCUGCAAGGGAAAAGCCACCGUUUCCACCAUUUUUCUCCUUUAAAGUAAAAUCCACUUUUAAAGUUUGUUCACAACCCUUUCAUAUAUUCUUGCGACCCACUUCUGUGAGCACUGUGUCAUUUUGCUCAGCCCCUAUUUUCUAAGCAUGCAACUAAUCAGUUUUUCCCCUCUGUUGCUCCAUAAAGUGCUCCAAGCCCGGGGUGUUUCAUCAGAGGAAAGUUCUAAACCAGUUUUUCUCCUCAAAUGUUUCUAAUAGCUUUCAGGUGUUGUCGGGAAUGCAUCCAUUGAUAUCCUUUAUUAUGUCACGUAAAUCAGGCUCAGAGUCAUCAACAGCGUUCCCACUUUGCAAAACCGGGCUGUUUUGGCCAGUCCGAGAGGAUGCAGGAAAUGUACCAAUGCUGCCCGACUGGGAUUAUCUUUGUUCAAUUUCCUAUUCUUCUGCUGGUGUUUGUAUUCCUCCUCUGAACAGGCUGGGAAUGGGUCACAGUAUUUUGCAGGCUGCUCGCCACACCAUUCUCCAUGGAGGUGCCUGAAAGCCCACACCUCCCUUGAGGUCCUCGUUCUUAUGUUUUUCUCCUUAGGAAUGCACAGGGCACUAUAUACACUAUUGCAUAGCUAAUUUUAGUUUGCAAUAUUAUAUAACUCUCCCUGUGACAGGAAGAAUAGCACAAUGUUUACUGCUCCACCUUCUAAUAGGGACAAUGAUCUUUGACUUCUGAAGACACACCUACACCCUUAGAUCCCUAUCAUAGGUUUCCAGCACAGUUCUUGAGACCUUUUCCAUCUCUGCUGUUUCAACUCUCGCUGAUUCUCUCCAUCUUGAUAUCUGAAACAGCACCUCUGAUUCACUAUUUCCAGUGCUUGCAAUGCUGUUGUCAUCUUUUUUAUUUUUUUUCUAAGUUUGGCUCUUGAAGGUAGGAGGUUAUGUACGUAUCUCAGCUUUCAAGGUUGUAAAGACAAACUUAAAAAGCCUCAAAAUCCAAAAUGCAAAUAAUAACCCAAUUUUUGUUUUUGUUUUUUUAAAUCAGUUGUAUGAUUUAAAAAUUGAUUAUGUGAUUUUUCUGGCUGUUGAUUUUAUAUACUCACAUCUGGUCAAACUGCUGAUAUUUAUCUACAAAAGGAAAAUCCUUUGGGCUGACAUUUUUACCAUACAAGAUAGAAAUCUGAGCAGUAAAUACAGCACAGUGUCAAGAAGAAAUCAGUGUGGGGCACUAGAGGAGAGGGCUUGAACAUUACUUAUAUCUUUAUAUACCCAUUUCUCCAGAACAAAGAAAUAAAAAUGUUUUUCCUUGCCAGAUAGAAAGACUCUUUGCUAGAAGCCUCUAGCAGUCUCUCCUAUUUAAAAUACAGAGCCUGUUUUAAUGUAAAUUUCUGAUUUGCACUAUAUUUCUUUGGUAUUGGACUGAAGAACUUAAAGGAGCAGCAGUUAACCUGGGAUAUUUCAAACAGACUUAGAAGAAAUAAUUAAACAUACAGUAUAGUAGUAAGAGUAAUUCGCUUAUGUUUUAGUAGUUUUCCUGCCCCAGAAGCUUAAUUACAAAAAGGUGAGAAUUGGAUUUAUGUUAUUAAUAUUCAUUUAGAUAAAGAGAGAACAUUUGUCUUGUCAGUUAAAAUGACCCUUUGGUAUAGCAAGUAGAUAUCAACAAUAUUCAGGAGUCAUGUAGUUUGGUAUUUGUGUGCCUAUCCUAGGUGAGCUGUGUUGAAUAACUCAGUCCACCUUAUUCUCAUUAUAAUCAGAGGAUCCCUUCAAUCUCUUGUUUCCUUUGAAAGAACAUAGCUCUUACAUAAUCAGUGUUUGGACUUGGAAACAGGCCAAUUGACUUGUCAGGGCCACUCAAGACAGUGUCUAGAGGGCUGCAGAGGUCCCUGGAGAUAUGAAUGUGAUGUUCACUGCCCGUGUUAUAGUGCUGUGUGCUGAGAACUCAGUAAAAUAGUGUUUCUAGGAUUCAGCAACCAUUUCAGGCUGUGGGCUGGAAUGAUCCAGCUUUGGUUAGAGGCAGAGAGGUGGGCCAUAGGAUGUAGCCACCACUAACACUUCUUCCAGCCAUAGCAUAGGAGAUAGUGCCUGCCACUGAACCCUGCGAAGUCUUACAUCCAUGGGCUGGAUCAAAUGAAUCCAUGGGCCAGAUUGGGCCUGUGGGCCAUAGGCUGCUAACUCCUGACCUAGGGAAUUGGAAUGUCUCUCUUUCCUUUAGUAUCGCUGACUGCACAUAUACAAAUUGUUCUUCCUUCUACUUAGCUUGAAACCAAAAUCGACUUAUCCCCUACCUGCCAUCAUAAACACAUGCAGUCUUUCUGGGUACAUGAUUCUCUUCUUCAUCCUUUAAUGCUGUGAGAUUCAGGGUGUGAAUACACAACAUGUUCCCCUGGGUGUAGUCUACUUCAGAUUCUUAACUGGAAUAAAAUUGCAUGGGUGUCCAGAGUGGACAUUCAACAGCCUUAUGGGUAAGUGCUAGAAUAGUUGGUAAUAGCCUGUUUGCAUUGACCUAUGGGAUGUCUGGGAGGGAUAAUGACUAGAUCUGUGAACAGAGGACUGGUGGAGUGAUGUACUCCUUGCUUGCUGAGGGCUAACUUUACUCCAGAGUGGAGAGAGAAACAUGGGUGUGAGGCUACAUGUUGUGUAUCUCCUCCAUUUUACCCCAAAGUAAAUGUUUUGUGGUAUUCAACAUCUUUCUUCCUAAAAAAUCAGUGGUCUACAUUUGGAUGCCUAGAGCUCCUUCAGCAGUGUAAGAAUGCAGCCAAGCACCCAAGGCAGCUGUCACACACAGGGACAUCGGUGACUUAUGGUUGCUGUUGCCACCAUUGGUGUGAUUUCUGCAGUAGUAGCAGCAGCUGUUUUUCUUUCUGUACUCUCUCCCCAAGUUAGCACCCAGAACACCUGUUCAGGUUGUCCCGCCCCUGUUACCCUACUGAGCAGCACCCUAUAGUGCAAAUGGGUAUGUGGACUCUCUACAGGCAGUCAGUACUGCCCUGUUUGCUCAAGUUGCCACAGAAUUGUGGUUUGUAAUACAUUAGGUUUAUCAGACUACGCAUUGUUCUGGGUUAUCUAAGGUAAACUAAUCUGCACAGUUUCUUUCCCUGUAUGCUCUGCUCUCCUUGUUUAUACUGCAAAGAGUGAAAUAAACUCUUAUCAAGUUUAAAUAGCGUACUGCUUACUUAUUUUGGCUUUCUCUGUAGCUGUGGGAUGAGUACGCUCCUCUGUUGUCUAGCUUCAGGUCUGCUCUUUGAGAAAAGCAUACUCUAAUGGCUUUUGACGUAGGGCCUAAGAGAACCAGUUCUACCACUGACUUGCUCUGUGGCUUUGGGUAUAUGGCCUAACCUUGUGCUGCCUCAGUUUCCCCAUCAAUGAAAUGAGAAUACUACUUGCUUCUAUCACCAGAAUGCUAGCAAGGCUUUACUAAUCAGUGCAUGUAAAGUGCUAUGAGAUCAUCAGGUGAAAGGUAGGAUAUAAAUGCAGAAUAUUUAUUAUAUCACACUGAUUUGGAAAAAGAUUCAUUUAUGGCUUUGGCUCUGACCCUGCAGUCAGGUCUACACAGAUACACAUGUACUUCUGGAUGGUUCUGAGAAGUUCAGCUGUUUAGAGGAAACAGGCUAUUGAUGAGCUCUGAAUUUAUAACAGAUCUUGUUGUUAGUCCUUAAGUGCAUGAUCUUGCAUGUAUAUUAUUAAAUUUCAUCUCAUUACUCAAAGUGAUCUAGGUUUGCCAGUGUGGUAUUCUAAUCCCCCUCUGUUCUGAUGAUGCCUUAUCCUUAGCAAAUUUCAUCAGAACACUCUGAAUUUUUGUACCGAGAUCAUUAAUGAACAUAACAAAUCAGACUGGUCCAAAGACAAAUCCUUAAGGAACAUCACUAGUACCUUCAUUCAGUGCAACAGUUCUCCUCCCAGCACCACACACUAUCAUCUUCCCGGUAGGCAAAUCAUUGUCUACCUUAUAACUCCUACAUGAAUCUCCAUACUCUCCAGCUUAAUUAAUAAUUUCCCACAACUUCAACUCAGCUCCACCUCAGUUAUGUGCAACUUAACUUAUUUAUUUUAAGGCAAGAAGAAACAAACCUUAUAGCAUUAUAUCGUAAUAGGAUUUCCUGGAGGAUCCCAAAUCUAUGAAACGAGCUGUGUUUAUCCAAUAAUGCGAUGAGAUGUAGCUGCUUUCAGUAUUACAGUACUUAUCAGAGUUCAGAGCCCUGCACAGAUGUAUGGCAGUUUAAUAUUAGUCUAACUCGGUGACAGCUCUUAAACAAGCAUGUAAUGUUACAAACAAAAUAGAGGUGUUACUGGCAUAUUUGACUUUGUCAUUUAUCUUGUCACUGUGGUUAUUAGGGAAACAAUAGCACCUUGACCUUCAACUUGAUGCCCAGUCUCGAAGGAAGUGACCUCUUAGUUCUGGUGCAGUUGUGACAGAAAAGUUUAGGCACUCUUUCCUCCUCCUCCUCCUCCUCUUCCUUAAACUGAUUUGUAACACUACUGAGUGACAUCUUCCCCCUUCAUUUACCCUGACUGCUUCCUGCCACCUGCCUCUCACAUCACCUGCUGCAGCUGAACCCUUUUCCCCUUGCUUUAUUCAGGAACCGAUUUGUGUUUCAUGCUUGGGAGACUGGUUGGCUUGCUCUUUUGUUAUUUUGCCUGAGGUAAAUUCUUCUGCUGUGGGUGGUGUAACAUAGAAAGGUAGGGGGAGGGACCCGGAUAUAAAUGACAGCACAAAGAGGUAGCAAGAGAGGGAGACAGGGUAGAAUCAGAGCUGAUACUGAGUAAGGUGUGGUAAUGAAAGCUAAGGUGUGGGAAAAGAUGACAGGGUGCUGAAUCCCUGGCAUAGGAGUGGGGCAUUCCCUUAGCAUGAAGCACUGCUCUGCAGGGUAUUUGGAGGCCUAGCUUCAGGGGGGAGUUGAGGCUAUGUCUUCACUUCUCAAAGGAGGUGUGUUGUUACACCAAGGUAGCUAUGAUGCAGGCUUUGUGGUGGCAAGGCAGCAUAGUUUUUAUCUCAUUAUUGCUGCUAGUCAAGGUAAGCCCUAGAUAGGGGUGAAAUGGUAUUAACCUGGACUAGCUAAGUUGUAGCAAAAACUACCUUUGUCUUAUAUUCAGCCAUAUUUCACAGUGAAACAGGUAACUAGAUGUGAAAAUGGACCUUUCUGGACAGUGAAGGCAAAGCCUGAGAUUUGCUUUGCCCUCAUCAGACCUCCUGUACAGCUCCCACUAGUAGAAAGCAAGGCUAGAACAACCAAGGAUACACAUGCACACCUUCCUCAUGGUGAGGGGCUAUGGUGAGAGCAGCUGAGAGUUCACAUACAACCCAUUCUCCCAUGUCAAUCCCUACAGUGACUGCUGCUGAAGUGGGAGACCUUCUGACACUCCUACUGCAACAGAAACAGUUCUGGGCUUCCCCACAGCCUGCAUUCCUGUCAUUUCCUAUAAUGAUGCCAGUGAGGAAAGGCUGAGUCCUUAGUUACUGGAGAACCUUCCCGCAGAGUCUCUUAUUGAGGACUGGUCUCUGCACAGUUUUUUAUAAACGGAAAUUUCCACAUACCUGCAUCUGUCUUGGGGUGGGGGUUGUCACUUUAUAACAAUACUGGUAUAAAACUUGUACAGAUGAGCCCUCGUUAUAUUUAUUUUAUAAUAUAUUUUAUUUUAUUAGAUUGAUAUGCUGCCCUUCUCAGAAAGGGCCAGGGUGGCUCACAGUAAAAGAGAAAAAGAAUUACAAAAACAGAAUACAAUACUGAAAUAAGAAUAAACAAACUCCCCAUCUCACCCCCAACCCCCAAAAUCAAAAGCAGUUCACUCCACCCCACCAUCUGCUCCCUGCCUCUGGCCCAAGAGAGUGCCAACUAGCCCAGUUCAGUCUUCCUUCUCAAUCCACAUGCCAAGCCUCCAUAAAAGACAGCAGUUCUCCCCCCACGCAUAUCCCCUCAUGUCCCUAUCCACUGCCAUUUAUUUCCCAGCCCUACAGGGCCUUACUAUGCCAGGCCAUGUCUCCGUCUUUCAGAGGGGGCUAUGGCUGUGUCCAAAGCCUAUUUGUGAAGUCUGGAAACUGUUACAGGAAACAUGGGCUAUCACAACACCCCUGUGUAUCUGAUUCUGUUGUCUUCAACUGUGCUAACCAGGAUACUGUCAAGUUUUAGAAGGAAAAAUGUUUUAAAAAAUAUGAAAUUCAAAUGAAGCAAUUAGGUCAGAAUUUAAUGCUAAAGCUUUUCAGUUGCCAUGGUUCUCUUCCCCCUCAUGCUAGAAGAGGAACAGCAGAAGCAAUCUACUCAAGUAUUUAAUGGGGGACCUCUGACAAUCAUUUUUCUGGCAUUUAUAAAGCCAUGUUAUCAGCUUCAGUUGAGAUGCAGGUAACAGUCUCAGGGGCGAUGUUUGUAUCCUUUUAUAAAACUGUAACUGCAACAGAGUAUCCUGAUAAAAUAUAAGGAAGAAGAGGGGAAGGCCUGAAUUUCCUGUCCUCUCUUUUCUCUCCUCUUGGGUCUGUUUUAGUUUCUGCCACCAUUUGUAACAGAACCAGUGUAUCAGGAGAAAGGAAUUAUACAAGCUAGGAAUUCCCUGGCAUCUGCAGGAACAGCUAGCCUCCUUCUAGAAAACAGUAUGGACGGAAAAAACAAUUACAGCAGUUUAAAAUUAUACCAAUUUACUGCAGCUUACACGGAACCAGUUCUGCUUCUGGUGAGCUGUUUCAUCAGUUCACUUCUGUCUCAUUCAAGUUACAGUAGGUUAGCUCCACUUAUGCUGAUAGAGGCAUGUACUAACAAUUCACAGUUACAUCCACCCCUGACCCUCUUUAAAACAGAAUCCUGUUGUGUUUGUCCACAGCUAUUGUCAUCUCACCUCCCCUAGCCAGAACUUAAGGGCAAUGUUACAUGUCUUAGUUCCUUCUUUCCUCCUAGUCCUCUAUAGACAUGUUUGUAGGUCUGGAAAGUAAGGUAUUUGGGAGUAGUAGGGAAGUUCGCUCAGAACAGCUUCACUUACUUCGUGUAUGCACGUGCUCAUACAGCUCUGUUUGUAGGCUUUCAAAUAGGUUUCUUUCUGUAUUCUCACUCUCUUGCCUGAACUGUGUUUCAACACAUAAUUGCCAUGAUACUUUAUGCUCUUAUAUCUAUGCUCUCAUGAGGCAGUCACUUCAGUUCCUUCUCUCAUUUCGAUUGACUUUAACCACUGUGUUGAAAAAGAUUGUUUCAAAAGAAGGAGGUAGGAGGAGACUUGGUCCCAUCUCUCUUGAAGGAAGGCUUUCCUUUUAGGGCUUGGACUUGAGGAGAAGAGACCGACCUGAUUCUCUAGAAAGAUGAGCUGGAGCCCUUUUCAAUUAUUCAGUGUAUAACAGUUGUUAGCUCUGACACAGCUGCUGCAGUUUAGGUCACAGGUGUGGGAUGUGGUUUAUAAAUUAAAAAAAAAAAGAGCAGUGGAAUGGGAUCCUUCUCACAUAUGUGACUGCUUUCAGACCUGGAUCAUUGCCACAGCCUUUUGACAUUCUCGCACAAACUUUCUGCUCUAGGAUCCUUCUGAAACAUUGGAUCUUGGUCUGACCUAAAUGGCCUCUUUGCACAUAAAGAGGUAAUCCAGGCCAGGAUCAAGCCCACCGAUUAUUACCCCCUGGUCCUAGUCCAUGUGGGUACUAAUGAUGCGGCCAGGAGAACCCCCGAUCACCUGAUGGCGGACUACAGUGCUCUGGGUGGCGUGCUGAAGGAGUUCGGUGCACAGGUGGUUUUCUCUUCCAUCCUACCAGUGACCAGACGAGGAAGACGGCAGGAGAACUGCAUCAGAGAGACCAACUGGCGGCUUCGGCAGUGGUGUCUCGAGGCAGGCUUCGGCUUCCUGGACAAUGACCCGCACAUCACGACGAGGGACAUGCUCAGCUGGGAUGGGCUUCACCUGUCCCCCAAAGGGCAGAGUGAAGAAGAAAAGGAGACAAGAAGAGAGAGAGCUCUCACUGUGAGAGUAGAAGACAGAAGAAGGGGGAGUAAGAGGAGUAGCAGGGAUGGCCAACGAGUCCAGCACACUGCCGCGAGUCACCUUUCAGACUCCAGAGAAGCCUGAGGAGGAAUCCUCCCACAGGAAACUAGGCAAGCUAACUGUGAAGUACAACCGCAAAGACCUUCAACGAUGGCGAGACCUGGAGGAAUGGAUUGAUGCCCAGUUGCAGGAGCUGUACCAGUACCAGCUACAGGAGGAGGCAGAAGCAGCCGUCCCUGAACCAGAAAUUGACAUUGAAGAUCUUCUGGAGGUCCCUAAUGAUGAACAGAAGUCAAAGCUCCAGGAAAUUCUUCAUGAGUGUUCCCGACCUACAGAGGACUUCAUUACUGAACUGUUGAGCCGGUUGAAAGGUCUCAGGAAAAUCCCUUCCCCACAAAAGAAAUGAUUCCACCCAUCUUGGGAAGCCUCUAUCAUUGCUUCUAUGGAAACAUGCAUCUCUCCAGGGAAGAGAAUCAUGGGAAGAUUAUUUUUAGUUUCUUCUGGAAUAUGGCGUCACUAAGAAACACCUUACAUACUUUCUGCACCAUGGGGGUUGAAUUACUUCUUUCCAUCCCCACUCCUGACUUAUUUGAGUAAUUCGUCAAUAUUUAAAAAGCCGUGAAGUUUGGGGACAGGCCAAGAUGACCUUCAUGCUUCUCCUCUAAUUUCCUUCUCAAAGGAAGCCCUGCUCCUGCUGAGCAGCACUGAACACAGCUCCAUCAUAGCCCAUCAAGGCUGCUUAUUCCACCCAGUGACUGAAAGGAAAAAUAAGUAAUUGGCUGUCAUCCACACUUCUACUGAACUGCUCCUCCUCCCUGCCUAUUUGAGACAGAAACCAAGAUGUCUUUGUUAGUGCAUUGUACAGACUCCAAGACAGCACAUGGCCAGAAAGCUGCUUCCUGUGUUUCCAGUCAGUGUUUUUAUUCAUCAUCCUUCACUCAGUGCUCAUUGAAGCUUUUCUCUUAAUCCCACUGUGUGUCUAUCAUUAAUGAAUAUUUAAGAGAUGAGUGAAUGUAUGCAGCAGCCACUAAGGUUAAUGGAAAAUAGGCUUUAUUUUUGUUCUCUGUGGUGCAUGGGACUUCUGCAGAUACUGCUGUCAGGAACAAAGGAGUUUGUCAAGGAUUUUCCCUGUCAUAACCAUUGAGAUAUUAUUAUUAUCCCAAAAACAUUUUGGAAGAUGCUUAUUUUGUAUAUUAAAAGACAUGAAAAGCAAGACCUGUUUGUGAUGAGGGUCCUUUGUUCUGCUUUCCCAGAGGAAAUACAGAGGGAAGAACUACUACAUGAAAAACCUACCCAGGACUGGCCAAGGUCUCCCUACAGGGGGCAUCUCAGAAUCUUUUCCUUGGGAUAGACAAUCAACCCAGAAGAGAAAUGGGAGCCUUUUGUCUCCCUACACAGAUGCUUCUGGCUGCAGCAGGACUGGGACUGAAAAACUUCUAUAAAAGAAGCCACAUUCAGCCUUUCUAGUCAGAGGGACAAUGAUGUACCAAGCAUAGGAGGGAAAUGGACAGCAAAUGUGGGGAGGGUAUUUUGAGCUCAAAAACAUCCUACAGAGCAGGAAAGUCUUAGUUCUUCUUCCACCUCCUCCUCCCUUCCCACUCUAGUCAUCUCUCAGCCGUGGAAGUGAAUUUUUAGGCCACUGUGGGAGAGGAAGUCCCAUGUAGCAUGAUGCUUCAGAGCCGAUUUAGAGCAGGAACUCAUCCUUGUAUGCCUAAGUAAAGGAAAAGGAAGGGCUGGGGUCUAGAACAUAAAGAAGACCUGUAGGGAUGGGGCUAGUUUGUCUGCCGGCUACCAAUAGAAAACAGAAGGAGAGUCUUUGGCUGGACUAGAAAUCUUGAUUCAUCUUUGAUCUUAAAAUUAGCUCAAUUCUCUCUCCCUAGUUAGUGCAGUCUGAUGGCUCAUGUUUGCCCUCCUCCCUGUGCUUCCUAGCAUACCAGCAGGCAGUGAGCCCGACAAUCCAUCUUUAAAGACUUCUGAUACUAAGCUAAUCCCUCACCAUUAGGGUGCUGAUAAGAGUCCAAAAGCCUCAGCAGCAGUAUGGCAAAAGGGUGGAAAUGGCACUUCCUUUUAGUGCUAAUAGCCUGCCUGUGGGUAUGCCCACAUGCUAAUAGUUGAUCCAGAGGCUAUCCUUUCUGUGCCACAAUGCAGCAGUGAGACAUGGCCAGUCCUAGCAUGAACACAGAUUUUGUAAAUCUCAGCAAUUUGGGAAAACAGUAUGUUCAAAUAUUUGAUUUAAAUAUACAACAGCUCUGCAUCUCUACCUGUGCAGGGUGUUGGACUAGAUCAGGGCUAUUGAACUCACCCAGCCACCUGGGACAGAUUUAGACUGUGGGGCUAUUUGGAGGCUGCAUUUGGACCUACAUCUAGCACUGGGGCAAGAGGAAACUGUAGCUUGCCUCUUUCACAGACACUAGUUCUCAACUGGGCUCCAUACCUCAGAUUUCAGCAGCUGGCAACAGCCCCAGAUUCCCAGCCCCUCUAAGAGCCCUGCAGGCUGCAUCUUUGACAACCCCUGACUAGAUGACACGAGAUCCCUUCUUACUCUAUGAUUUUAUAUCCAUCAGUCAGGAACAUUGUUUUCUCAGUUAUCCCCUUUUAUCUUUUGUAUAGUUAAGAUUUAGUCAAGAUAAACCCCAUUACCAAAAGUUAUAGCACGUAUGUGCGUUAGCAUGUUAUAGCAUGUGUGCGCACACACCUCUCCUUGCUUGCUAUUUUCUAUAUUUAAAAUCUAAGUAAAUUUAUGCCCCGGUUCACACACUGAAACUCUUUCAGCCUUGACAAUAAGAAUAGAUUUACCAGUGUUGCUUUUGGUUUACAGUCAGUUGAUAAAUAAUUUAUCUUGGUUCUCAGUAGACCCAUUAAUUCAAAGCUGUAAUAUCUGGCUUCUGUAGGAUUUUUUUUUUUAAACAAACAAGUCCUCUUGAUUGUAGCUCAGCUGGACACAGUUCAGUUGGUCUAGGUUUUACAAGUGAGGAUCUAUGCCCAGGUGUAGAAUAUAAAAGCAACAAAUCAAACCAAAUCACCAUUUUCUUGCCACUAGCACCACCUCAGAGCACCUUCCUAAAAUAUUCAACUUCUCUCUUCUAUGAUAUCAUAUUGGUUUUAAUUCUACAGCAAAAAUAAGUAAAACAAUUGAACUUUUUCAGGAAAAAAAUUCUUCCAACCCUACCUUAAGCAUCAUGAAGAAAUAAAACUACAUUCACACAA